GACACCAUCCCCAUUGUGCUUUCCGGAGAUGAGCCUGAUGGACUUGAAUUACUGACAACCCACAGCAGAAGCUGAAGAGCUUCAUGGCCUAAUUCCCUGAUCCUCCAACCAGGAGGCCUCCCCAGGCCUGAAAGAAGUGUUUGUAAAGUUCUUGGGCUGUAACUCAGAUUAUCUGCGUCAGGUUCUUUGAAGAUGAGGCCACUUCCGCAUUGUUAAGAAGUUCCAUGGAUUCUCAUGCACGGUAAAGUUGAAGAAUCACUGUUCUCCACGAUUUUGUGUCUGUACUGGAGAAGUUGGCUCAGAGAUGAAGAAGUAACUGGAACACAAUCAUCUGGCAAAAUCAACUGAGGAAAAUGGAAAAAAGUACCACCUUGCUAGUAAUAUUUUAGUGGCAAUAAUACCCAAAUAAUGUGGAUCCCAAU